rnacentral:misc_RNA from 1 species
AAGUUGUAACAAGGUUUCCAUAGGUGAACCUGCGGAAGGAUCAUUAUUGAAUAUUCUCGAUGGGUUGUAGCUGGCUCCUCAGAGCAUGUGCACACCUGUCUUGACUUUAUUCAUCCACCUGUGCACCUAUUGUAGUCUCAUUCGAGAGUAGUCAGUCAGCAUGACUGGAUGUGAGGGAUGCAGCACAAAAGUGCAGCACCUCUCUGGCUCUCGGUGAACUAUGUCUUUAUUCAUAAACCAUGUAGUAUGUUGCAGAAUGUAUUCAAUGGGUCCUUGUGCCUAUAAAAAACUGUAUACAACUUUCAGCAAUAGAUCUCUUGGCUCUC